UAGUCCACGCCGUAAACGAUGGUCACUAGCUGUUCGGAUUUCGGUCUGAGUGGCUAAGCGAAAGUGAUAAGUGACCCACCUGGGGAGUACGUUCGCAAGAAUGAAACUCAAAGGAAUUGACGGGGGCCCGCACAAGCGGUGGAGCAUGUGGUUUAAUUCGAUGAUACGCGAGGAACCUUACCAGGGCUUAAAUGUAGUGUGACAGGACUAGAAAUAGUUUUUUCUUCGGACACAUUGCAAGGUGCUGCAUGGUUGUCGUCAGCUCGUGCCGUGAGGUGUCAGGUUAAGUCCUAUAACGAGCGCAACCCCUGUUGUUAGUUGCCAGCACAUUAUGGUGGGAACUCUAACAAGACUGCCGGUGCAAACCGUGAGGAAGGUGGGGAUGACGUCAAAUCAUCACGGCCCUUACGUCCUGGGCUACACACGUGCUACAAUGGUAGGGACAGAGAGCAGCCACUUCGCGAGAAGGAGCGAAUCUAUAAACCCUAUCACAGUUCGAAUUGUUUCUGAAA
rnacentral:rRNA from 1 species